rnacentral:lncRNA from 12 species
CUGGGGCUUCGGGGAAGCAGGAAGGACCCAGAGCCCGGGUCGGGUGCUCCUCAGAGAGACGCGGAGGAAAGGGGUGAGCAUGCAGCCUGUCUCCAGAUGCUCGUAAACAGCCGUGCCUACAGGGUGGCCACAGAGACCUUCUCGAAAACGUUGCCAAUGGCGCAGUGAUUGGCCUCUAUCUGCAAGGACCUCGAUGUCCUAUUUGGGAAAAUUGUUUAGUCAUGAGUGCAAUCUGUGUGAGAUGCAACAGCAAGCGAGGGUUGCGAGAAAUGAUCUGACUUGCAUUACAACUCCUAGGCCGGGAAGGCUCUGUUGGGUGACCGCUCCCUGUAUUUUUCCAUCAGCGGCAAAGUCGUUAGUGGCAUAAAGUGUCACUAACACGUGAAAGGAUGACCAGAGGAGAGAGACUCAUUCCACUUGACCAACCCAAACACCUGUGGAUCGGGUUAGGUGCUUCUUAUCCCUUGGUUCUGCAAGUAGGUUCUAGAAUCUCUCAAAGCAGAAUCGGGAGCAUCGCAGGGCUCCAGAAAAAUCUGCUGGCCCUACAGCCUGCUGCCUCCCAGCGCGGGAAGACCGCCCCUGUUCUUCCUUUCCUACCUUGUGCCGAACAACUAGAAGUGAGGGAGGGUAGGUGGGCGUCUGAAGCAACCGCAGGAGCCGCAGGACCACGGAGAGCCGGUGCCUACCCCCCAGCCAGCGGGGAUGUCUCUGCGCCUGUCAUCACAGAGCCUGGCUAGUUAAGAAGAAAUGUGGAUUUUGCUUUAGCCUAAUGAAGCUUUGCCGUUUUUAAAGGACAUCACACUGUGAUCGCCACGGUCGCGUUAAAAGAUAAUGCUAGCCGGUGUUGUGCGCGUUAUUUUUAGCACGAAGCCUAACGUACAAUCUCAAGUUAGGCAGCAGGAUCCUUGGGCCUCCCCAGGGUCUCAUUAAAAUGAGAUGUUUCCCUCUAGAGGUUCACUCGGUAAGCAAUGUUUAAACUUUGUAAUCAGGCUGCCCUGAGUUGCCAUUCGAGAAACAGUUUUGAAAACAAAUCCUCCGUCAGACUGUGGCUGGUGCCCUGACAGUCGAAUCCCAGUGACUUCAAAUGUAGGGAGAAAAUGAUCUUUGAAUGAAAGGUGUCGAGAGCUUUCAGUGCUCUAAUUAAGAUCUAAGAAGGUACGUAUCCAGCUAGAAAGUCACCACCGCAUUAAAUUAUACUCUCCUGAGUAAGCCAACAUCAGCUUAACGGCAUUUUCCGGGUAACGAGGUUGUGAACGCUAAUCCUGAUUUUGAAUGCGGGUUGGGUAUUAACUGCUUCGACUAGAAAAGGCUGGGAUUCUGAGAAUAAGACCACUUUUAAAAUUAGUCAAGAUUGUCUUUAUAGCUGGCAGACAGCCACACCUGUGAUAAAACAGGGCUCGUCGUCUACUCAGCUUUCCGUUGCUGAGCACAUGCCCAGUCUCCUCAGGAGGAAGUCCCUAAAAAGUGGAAUAAAAUAAAGAUCGUCG